rnacentral:rRNA from 1 species
UGCAGUCGAACGAGAAAGCUCCCUUCGGGGAGCCGGUACAGUGGCGCACGGGUGAGUAUCACGUGGGUAAUCUGUCCUCGAGUGGGGAACAACCCAGGGAAACUUGGGCUAAUACCGCAUAACAUCCCGACCUCUCCGGGGGACGGGAUCAAAGCUGGGGAUCGCAAGACCUGGCGCUUGAGGAGGAGCCUGCGGCUGAUUAGCUUGUUGGUGGGGUAACGGCCUACCAAGGCGACGAUCAGUAGCCGGCCUGAGAGGGUGAUCGGCCACACUGGAACUGAGACACGGUCCAGACUCCUACGGGAGGCAGCAGUGAGGAAUUUUGCGCAAUGGGCGAAAGCCUGACGCAGCAAUGCCGCGUGGAUGAUGAAGGCCUUCGGGUCGUAAAAUCCUGUCAAGUGGGAAGAAACCCCCUCCGUUAAUAGCGGCAGGGGGGUGACUGUACCACUGGAGGAAGCCCCGGCUAACUCCGUGCCAGCAGCCGCGGUAAUACGGAGGGGGCAAGCGUUGUUCGGAAUUAUUGGGCGUAAAGGGCGCGUAGGCGGCACUGUAAGUCGGUUGUGAAAUCCCUUGGCUCAACCAAGGAACUGCAACCGAAACUACAGAGCUAGAGUCCGGGAGAGGGUAGUGGAAUUCCCAGUGUAGCGGUGAAAUGCGUAGAUAUUGGGAGGAACACCAGUGGCGAAGGCGGCUACCUGGACCGGUACUGACGCUGAGGCGCGAAAGCUAGGGGAGCAAACAGGAUUAGAUACCCUGGUAGUCCUAGCUGUAAACGAUGA